rnacentral:rRNA from 1 species
GUGAACAUACCUAUAACUGUUGCUUCGGCGGGUAGGGUCUCCGUGACCCUCCCGGCCUCCCGCCCCCGGGCGGGUCGGCGCCCGCCGGAGGAUAACCAAACUCUGAUUUAACGACGUUUCUUCUGAGUGGUACAAGCAAAUAAUCAAAACUUUUAACAACGGAUCUCUUGGUUCUGGCAUCGAUGAAGAACGCAGCGAAAUGCGAUAAGUAAUGUGAAUUGCAGAAUUCAGUGAAUCAUCGAAUCUUUGAACGCACAUUGCGCCCGCCAGCAUUCUGGCGGGCAUGCCUGUUCGAGCGUCAUUUCAACCCUCAAGCUCUGCUUGGUGUUGGGGCCCUACAGCUGAUGUAGGCCCUCAAAGGUAGUGGCGGACCCUCCCGGAGCCUCCUUUGCGUAGUAACUUUACGUCUCGCACUGGGAUCCGGAGGGACUCUUGCCGUAAAACCCCCAAUUUUCCAAAGGUUGACCUCGGAUCAGGUAGGAAUACCCGCUGAACUUAAGCAUAUCAAUAAGCGGAGGAAAAGAAACCAACAGGGAUUGCCUCAGUAACGGCGAGUGAAGCGGCAACAGCUCAAAUUUGAAAUCUGGCCCUAGGCCCGAGUUGUAAUUUGCAGAGGAUGCUUUUGGUGCGGUGCCUUCCAAGUUCCCUAGAACGGGACGCCAGAGAGGGUGAGAGCCCCGUACAGUUGGACACCAAGCCUUUGUAAAGCUCCUUCGACGAGUCGAGUAGUUUGGGAAUGCUGCUCAAAAUGGGAGGUAUAUUUCUUC